GUGAGGAAUAUUGGUCAAUGGGCGGGAGCCUGAACCAGCCAAGUCGCGUGAAGGAAGAAGGAUCUAUGGUUCGUAAACUUCUUUUGCAGGGGAAUAAAGUGCAGGACGUGUCCUGUUUUGUAUGUACCCUGAGAAUAAGGAUCGGCUAACUCCGUGCCAGCAGCCGCGGUAAUACGGAGGAUCCGAGCGUUAUCCGGAUUUAUUGGGUUUAAAGGGUGCGUAGGUGGUUUGAUAAGUCAGCGGUGAAAGUUUGCAGCUUAACUGUAAAAAUGCCGUUGAAACUGUCGGACUUGAGUGUAAAUGAGGUAGGCGGAAUGCGUGGUGUAGCGGUGAAAUGCAUAGAUAUCACGCAGAACUCCGAUUGCGAAGGCAGCUUACUAAGCUACAACUGACACUGAAGCACGAAAGCGUGGGGAUCAAACAGGAUUAGAUACCCUAGUAGUCC
rnacentral:rRNA from 1 species